GUGAGUGGUGAACGGGUUGUGUGGGUUGGCGGGCUCCGUGCUACGGCAUCGAACCGUCCGCGCGCACUCCACGUCAGUGAUGCAUCAAGAGUUUCUUAUGCUUCAAACGGAUUCCUGUACUUGCUACCUAUCGUAAAGGUAUGGCGCCUCUCGUUGACUCUUUCCUUCCCUGACUCAUGCGGUCUGGGGGAGGACAUCGUAGUGGCGCCUGUGCCCCCCGCAUUGUGCGUGCCUUAUGGUCCGCACUUUACGACGGUUCCCAGGUCGUUGCUUGAUGCCUCGGAUACGGAACAUUCGGUGGGCUUUGGGUGUUCGCACCCUCGAUGUCCGAUUCCAAGCGUUUUUGUCGCUAGACAUGUACGAUUGUCAUGCUCCGUUGCGGGAUCCCCCGCGCGGUCGCUGGCGUCGGUAUAGGAAUGCUACCUGGUUGAUCCUGCCAGUAGUCAUAUGCUUGUCUCAAAGAUUAAGCCAUGCAUGUGUAAGUAUGAACUAAUUCAGACUGUGAAACUGCGAAUGGCU
rnacentral:misc_RNA from 1 species